UCUCCGUAGGUGAACCUGCGGAGGGAUCAUUACAGAGUUCUCGCCCUCGCGGGUAGGUCUCCCACCCACUGUUAUCGUUACUGUGUUGCUUUGGCGGGCCGCCGGGCCCCGCUCGGCCGCCGGCUCCGGCUGGCGCGCGCCCGCCAGAGGCCCAGCAAACUCUGAAUGUUAGUGUCGUCUGAGUACUAUAUAAUAGUUAAAACUUUCAACAACGGAUCUCUUGGUUCUG
rnacentral:misc_RNA from 1 species